rnacentral:siRNA from 1 species
AAGAGAAAUUGAGUGUGCAUCC